GCGACAAUAAACAGUCCGUCUGGAUAAACGUUCUGCAGUUCACUAAUCGCUCCAUACAGCUCCUGGAGAGCCUCUCGUGUGUUCGCACUGGAUGGAAUGUACAGCGCGAUUAUAAACACGGAGGUGAAUUCCCGCGGUAAAUAAAAAGGUCUGCAUCUGACAAUAGCAAACUCCCCCAGCGGUGAGCAGUACUUAACGACAAGCACAGAGUUUUUACACCAGGACUCAUUGAUAUAAAUGCAUACUCCUCCGCCGCGUGUUUUGCCGGAGAGUGCAUUGUCUCUAUCGGCACGGAAUGAGACUAAUCCAUCCAGAUGAAUGGCGGCGUCUGGAAUACUAUCGCUGAGCCACGUUUCAGCAGUCUCUGAACUCUCGCUUUGUAGUCUGCUGGAGUUUGAUGCAGUCCAGUUUAUUAUCUAAGGAGCAGACAUUAAAAAGGAAUAGAGAUGGUAGAGCUGGUCUGCUAGGAUUGGCUUUUAGCCUAGCACGGACCCCAGCUCGCUUCCCCCGCUUCUGCUUCCUUGCACACCGGUUGCGGUGUCUCCCCCUUCGGCAUUCGGACUUAGGCGACGCCGUGGUCUGCAGGCCUGGUACGCAUAGCAACCCGAGCUAACAGAGCGUCUGAAGCACCCCGUCGUCCAGGUAGGCCUGCCAAAAAUGAGCUGCAGAAGACCAGUCUUGAGAUGACAAAGGAUGGACAAGUAAAUGAGUGGCAUUUCUGGAAAUAAAUCCACGAAUCCUCCUGAUGUUAUUUUCAGAUGCUGGGCAGCGUUCUAUGUGGAUUAACUCCUCUAUCAAAUUGAAGAUGGAAACUAAGGCUCUUGUAUCAUGAUCUUGCAAAGGCUAACUGACUUUGAAAUGCUAUGGUGUAUGUAACUUUAUUUUGAAAAAUUUGUAUGAGAUCAACAAAAACACUGAUCUCUUCAGGCAGCAAAAGUAAUAUUUGAAUCACAGCAUGAUAACUUAAGCAACAUAAUUUUGCAUAACUACUUAAGCAACAUGAUUUUCUAGUAUUUUUUAAAUUAUGGUUAUAACAAAAAAAAAAAUUAAAAAAACACUAUAAAAUUCAAGAGACAUAAUAAAGUAUUCCCAUUUAGAUAUAACCAUGCUUUGAUAUAUAUUCUCCUUUAAAAUUCAAAUGGAACAUUUUAUGAUUGUUAAUCCCAAAUCUACAUACAUUAAGUGUAUUUCCUUUAAAGACUAAGUAAAGAUCUCAUGUUAGUUGGAAUCAUGACCAACAAAAGGAAGGUAAAAAAUGUACCAUAUCCCUCCACACGACCAUUUUUGAAUUCCCCUUCAAACUUCAUCCCAUCAAAUCUGCUGAAGACUCCAACACCUUGGAAUUUUCCCUGGGCAAACUCACCCUCAUACCUUUGGGUAAGAAGUAAACCAUGUUGAAUGGUUCAUAAAGAACACAGUUCAUAAAAAACACAGUAGACCAUAAAACCAUUUAUGUCAGGCUAACUAGUCUGAGGACUCAAUAACAUAAGAUAAGGAUAAUGUCUAAGGAUAAUUUUAUUAAAUACUCCCUCACCUGGACCCAUCAGGAAACAUUAGCACCCCACAACCAUGGAACAGGCCAUUCUCAAAGUGGCCCUUAUAAGAGGUACCAUCAGAGAACUUCAGCUGCCCUACACCAUGUCGCUUUCCUGAAUAGCACACACAGUGGCAGGGCAAAGAAAUUAAGAUACCACAUUUACUGAAGAGGAUAGAAUGGUCAAAUAUGAGGUGAUUAAAUACUUUAGAAGUUUGGAUAUAUUGUUUGUAAGUAGUUUAAAAGGAUGUAAAAGCACAUUGGCUAAUUUAACUUCUCAUCUUGAGUGUUAUUUUACCAAAUUGCUGCAUUUGUCAGAUUCUGUACUGCAUCUCAUGGCUAUGAUCUACUGAAAACUUUUUAAAUUAUUUGGCCUUUUGGCAAAAAAUGUUUCUUUGGCAUGAACUAAUUAGGCCUAUUAUGCAAGGUCAUGUUGUACAUGGCAUAGAUAUCCAGAAGUGGAGAUGCUGAUUUCUGAAGAAUGGUCAUCACUCACUGGUUAUUAUUGGAUUUAUUUAUUUUUUUAUUUUUUUUAAAUUUAAGGCCUAUUAUUGUCCAAGACAGUUUACGUGGCCGAGAUGUUCCAUUAUGAUACAAGGUACCCAUAGUGCUGGAAAUUUAAAAAAAAAGCGCUGCAAAUACACAAAGCAUAUUCAUCAAGAUAACACGUGCAAAUUCAGAAACAAUACACAUCCACUCACAACGCAACUAAGGAGAGCCAGGUGAAAGUGUUGUUUCCGGGGGAUACCUAGAAAGGAUGAACUUGUCAUGUGACUGGAUUUGCAGCGUUUCUACGUUUUUAAAAUUUGCACCGCGUUUUGGAAAUGUAGCAGGCAUGUUUUCGUUUUGUUGAAUAUGCUUUGUGCAUCUGCAGUGCGUUGCCUUUUCACUUGGUCUUCACGGGCACCGUAGCGAUAGUGGUGCUAGGCAUUUGUUACGGUUAAUAACACUAUUAAUAUUUUCUUUCUGUAAGAAGCAUAGGUUAGCAUACAAGCCAAACAACUGCUACGUUGAGUCUGCUAUGCGGGCAGGCAACACUAUGACAAUGUCCUAACAUAAAAGAACAUGGUAAAAGAGCCUUUUUAAAAUGAA